AUGUCAUAGCCUGCACUCUAACCAAUUUAGUACUGUGUAUAAUACAGUUGGUUGAACUCCAGUAUUCCUCUCUUUUAUUAUGGCAGUACAGUUCAUGUGAUUUUUGUUUUGGCAAGUGCCCAAAUAUGUUAGCUCUAAAGUGUUCUAGAGUGUCUCGCAAAAGGGAUAAGAAACAGAUAAAGAUGUUAAUUUCUGUUUUAGGGUAUCCUAUAUUGGUUUAAGAAUACUAUCUUGUUCUCCAGUUUCCAACCUAAAACUCUUUGCAACUAUGUUUUUGGCUGUGUUAAAGGUUUGAUAGAUCUAAGUUUCUACCACUUUGGCUUGAAGUGUCCUCUGAAGGCUGAUUCAUAGGAUGACUCAAUUUAGUGUUCCUUUUUGUCUUUCUAGAGUUCUGGGUAGGAAUAAUAGAAAAUUAGUAGCUUACCGAGAGACAAGAGUGCCAACUUGCAAUGCAAUUUAAGUCCUUGGGGCUAAAGCUGGUGUUUGCUUCUCCAUAUGUGGAUAUAUAUCCUAAAGGCUGAAGCUGUUUUCUGCUAUUUUGUUUGUAAAACUUAUUGCACUGAUCUGUUUAUGUUCUUGCGGGAGAGGGAGGAGG
rnacentral:lncRNA from 1 species